AUGGCAAUCUGAACGAUCGAACAGUCGAGAAAGUGCGUUUUGCUACGUCUAUUUAUUAUUAAGCAAGUGGAAUUUACGUUUAUUAACGACAAUAUCUCUUCGAAACUAAAAAAACCGACUAUUUAAUCAAAUUAAAAGCACGAUGAUUAUACCUGUACGUUGUUUUACGUGUGGAAAAGUAAUCGGUAAUAAGUGGGAAGCUUAUCUUGGUUUGUUACAGGCAGAAUACACUGAAGGUGAUGCUCUUGACGCAUUGGGUUUAAAACGAUACUGCUGCCGUAGAAUGCUUCUUGGACAUGUAGAUUUAAUUGAGAAGCUUUUGAAUUACGCACCAUUAGAAAAAUAAAAAUGUGAGAUAAAAAUUCUCUCAUUUCACUUUAAAUAUUAAGAUACAAAUUGCCAAUUAUAUAAUAGGAUAUUGUUAUUUGUACAGAAAUAUUUCUUAGGAAAUGUAUGAUGACAAGGAAUAUGUAAAAAUUUCCAACAAUUGUAUAAAAAAUCAAUUGAUUUAUAACAAGUUCGAUAAGCAAAAAUUGCUUCGAAAGGAUUUUGCUUUCUUUUAAAUGUACAUUUGUAUUAAAUGCAACACAGUAGAGUGAAACAUUUGCUGCACUGUGAAUCACAUAGAUGAAACAUGUUAUGACUUGUUUAUAAAUGUUUGAAUUAUUACAAUAAUACAUGUUAUUAAAUUUAGGAAAAAAAAAUGAAGGUUAUACUUUAAGAUUUGAUUGUUAAUUCAUAAGACUAACAACACGCAAAUAUACUUCUCUAUGUAUUAACAAUUUUUAUAGAUCGUAAUUGUAGCUAAAAUUUUUUUAAAUUCUUUAUAGUAUGUUUCAAAUAGGGUACAGUUAUAUGUGCAGAAUAUAAAAAAAUGUUCAAACGUAAUUUAUCAUUAUAAUAAAGUAAAAAAUUUCACUUUGUUAAAUAAAUAAUAUCAAUCAAAAUUAAUUAAAACGUAUUGCUCCAAUGUAAAAUAUUUCUUACAAAUACUGUUAACUUCUCUCAGUCUAGUCUCUUCACGAAUUAAAUAGAAUAUAUAUACUAUAUAUUAUGUUUUAGGAACAGAGUAAGUUACUAGAUAUAUUUUCAAAUUAGUCACUUAUUAACGAUUAAAUCUUCUCAUAUAACCUCCCCUAAUAGUACUUAUUUUAUAAUAUAAAUUGUUUGUGCGUAGAUAUUAUUUGAACUAUAUCGAAUGUUAGUUUUCCAAUUUCUCAUUCUUAAAAGAAUUCAUUUUUGAUUCAUUGAAUUCUCAUUUGCACAACAACCGAAGUUACGUUGGUUAAAAUUCAUUCUAUCUUACUAAAAUACUAGGGCAUGUCUUGUAAGCAUAAUAUGAUGGCAUCUAAAUUUCUGAUAUAAAUUUUAUCAAACUUCUGAUUAUACGUAUCUUACAAAAUAAAUUGAUAUCUUCAAUUUA